AUGCCUACCAUAUUACCAUGUCAGCCUCUAACCUUUUCACCCUUCCUAGCAAACCGUUGUUUGGCUAUGUUACCGCUUUGCUCAGCCCCUCUUAUAGCGUCGUUAGUUGCAGGUGAAGUUGAAGAUUUCUCCAUGAUGGACAAGAUUAUGCUGGGAUAUCACAAUAUCUCUUAUUUAAUUAAUGCAUCUAUAUACUUGGUAAAGGGUGGAAGGCUCGGCCUUAUGCCUGGUGUUUUGUUCCACUCUUGCCGCCCUAGUUUCCGUCAUAGCGGUGUCACUACUGGAAUCAGCUACUUUGCCAUCUGCCAGCUCUUUGCCGUCUGCUAG
rnacentral:rRNA from 1 species